AUGUCUAAAUUUGAUGUUGAACAGUUAUUGAGUGAAUUGAACCAGGAUGAAAAGAUUUCCUUACUCUCUGCAGUUGAUUUCUGGCAUACUAAGAAGAUUGAACGGUUGGGAAUUCCAGCGGUGAGGGUUUCUGAUGGUCCAAAUGGUAUUAGAGGGACAAAGUUCUUUGAUGGGGUUCCUUCAGGAUGUUUCCCUAAUGGUACCGGGUUGGCAUCUACUUUUGAUCGCGACCUGCUUGAGACAGCAGGUAAGUUGAUGGCCAAGGAAUCGAUUGCGAAGAAUGCUGCUGUGAUUUUGGGUCCAACCACAAACAUGCAACGUGGUCCUUUGGGUGGUCGUGGUUUUGAAUCAUUUUCUGAAGAUCCAUACCUUGCUGGUAUGGCAACUUCUUCUGUUGUUAAAGGUAUGCAGGGCGAAGGUAUUGCUGCUACCGUUAAGCAUUUUGUUUGUAACGAUUUGGAAGACCAACGUUUCUCUUCAAACUCAAUUGUUUCUGAAAGGGCUCUUAGAGAAAUUUACUUGGAGCCCUUCAGAUUGGCAGUUAAACAUGCCAAUCCUGUUUGUAUAAUGACUGCCUAUAACAAGGUCAAUGGCGAACAUUGCUCCCAAUCCAAGAAGCUAUUGAUCGACAUUUUGAGAGACGAGUGGAAAUGGGACGGUAUGUUAAUGUCCGACUGGUUCGGUACAUAUACGACUGCCGCAGCUAUCAAGAAUGGGUUGGAUAUCGAGUUUCCUGGACCAACAAGAUGGAGAACACGUGCUUUAGUGUCUCACUCACUCAACUCCAGAGAACAAAUCACUACUGAAGAUGUUGAUGAUCGUGUUAGACAAGUGCUAAAAAUGAUUAAGUUCGUUGUUGACAAUUUAGAGAAAACAGGUAUUGUGGAGAAUGGCCCAGAAUCUACUUCAAACAACACCAAGGAAACCUCGGACCUGUUGAGAAAGAUUGCUGCUGACUCUAUUGUUUUAUUGAAGAACAAAAACAAUAUCUUACCUCUAAAGAAAGAAGACAAUAUCAUUGUCAUUGGCCCAAAUGCUAAAGCAAAGACUAGUUCUGGUGGUGGUUCAGCAUCCAUGAACUCCUACUAUGUCGUUUCUCCGUAUGAAGGUAUCGUCAAUAAGCUGGGCAAAGAGGUCGACUACACCGUAGGCGCCUAUUCACACAAAUCUAUUGGAGGUUUGGCCGAGAGUAGUUUGAUCGAUGCUGCAAAACCAGCAGAUGCUGAAAAUUCUGGAUUAAUUGCCAAGUUUUACUCCAAUCCAGUAGAAGAGAGAUCUGACGAUGAAGAACCAUUCCACGUUACCAAAGUCAAUAGAUCCAAUGUUCACUUAUUUGAUUUCAAACAUGAGAAAGUGGAUCCAAAGAACCCUUACUUUUUUGUAACCUUAACCGGACAGUACGUGCCCCAAGAAGAUGGUGAUUAUAUCUUCAGUCUUCAAGUUUAUGGUUCUGGUUUGUUCUACUUAAACGAUGAGUUGAUUAUUGACCAAAAGCACAACCAAGAAAGGGGUAGUUUCUGCUUUGGAGCUGGUACCAAAGAAAGAACCAAAAAGUUGACUUUGAAGAAGGGCCAAGUUUAUAAUGUAAGAGUUGAGUACGGUUCUGGCCCAACUUCAGGUUUGGUUGGGGAAUUCGGUGCAGGUGGAUUCCAAGCUGGUGUCAUCAAGGCCAUCGACGAUGACGAGGAGAUUAGAAACGCAGCGGAAUUAGCAGCUAAGCAUGAUAAGGCUGUCUUGAUAAUUGGAUUAAAUGGUGAAUGGGAAACCGAAGGUUAUGACAGAGAAAACAUGGAUUUGCCAAAAAGGACAAAUGAAUUGGUUCGUGCUGUUUUGAAAGCAAAUCCAAAUACUGUUAUCGUUAACCAAUCUGGUACCCCAGUCGAGUUCCCUUGGUUAGAAGACGCAAAUGCGCUAGUUCAAGCUUGGUACGGUGGUAAUGAAUUGGGUAAUGCUAUCGCAGACGUCUUAUAUGGUGACGUGGUUCCAAAUGGUAAGUUAUCGCUCUCUUGGCCAUUUAAGUUACAAGAUAAUCCAGCCUUUUUAAACUUCAAGACCGAGUUCGGAAGAGUUAUUUACGGUGAGGAUAUAUUUGUUGGCUAUAGAUACUACGAAAAGCUUCAAAGAAAGGUUGCUUUCCCCUUCGGAUAUGGUCUAUCGUAUACAACAUUCGAACUAGAUAUUUCUGACUUCAAGGUAACCGAUGAUAAAAUAGCUAUUUCAGUUGAUGUGAAGAAUACUGGUGAUAAAUUUGCUGGCUCUGAGGUAGUGCAAGUCUACUUCAGUGCUCUAAACUCUAAGGUCUCGAGACCUGUUAAGGAGUUGAAGGGAUUCGAAAAAGUCCAUUUGGAACCAGGUGAGAAGAAGACAGUUAAUAUUGACCUGGAAUUGAAAGACGCAAUUUCCUACUUUAACGAAGAGCUCGGUAAAUGGCACGUUGAAGCAGGUGAAUACUUGGUUUCAGUUGGUACUUCUUCUGAUGAUAUACUUUCCGUCAAAGAGUUUAAAGUAGAGAAAGAAUUGUAUUGGAAAGGCUUGUAA
rnacentral:tRNA from 1 species